rnacentral:rRNA from 1 species
UACGAAGGGGGCUAGCGUUGCUCGGAAUCACUGGGCGUAAAGCGCACGUAGGCGGACUCUUAAGUCGGUGGUGAAAUCCUGGAGCUCAACUCCAGAACUGCCUUCGAUACUGGAGAUCUUGAGUCCGGAAGAGGUAAGUGGAACUGCGAGUGUAGAGGUGAAAUUCGUAGAUAUUCGCAAGAACACCAGUGGCGAAGGCGGCUUACUGGUCCGGAACUGACGCUGAGGUGGCGAAAGCG